rnacentral:lncRNA from 10 species
GGCUUCCCAAAGUGCUGGGAUUACAGGCGUGAGUCACCGCGCCUGGCCAAAAUAAAAUGCCAUGUAAACCAAAGAAAGGCUAAGGAACUGUUAGAGAUGAAAGGUGACUCAAGAGACCCAACAACUAAAGGCAAUGCACGAUUCUGAAUUGAAUCCGAUUGGGAAAAAACAAAAAUGCUGCAAGGGCUGUUAUUUGGUGAAAUUAUGUAAAAUUUGAACAUGGACUCUAUAUUAUUAGAUAGCAUAUUAAUGUUUUCUGCUUUUGAUAACUGUAUUGUGGUUAUGAGAAUGUCCUUGUUUCAGGAAAUGUACACUGAAAAGUAUUUAGGGGUAAAAGGGCAUGAUGUCUGUAAUUCUCAAAUGGUUUAACAAGUAACAUGUAUAAUAACACAAAUGUGGCAAAAUGUUCACAAUUAGUCUAUCUGGACAAAGGGAAGUUCUUUGUAGUAGUCUUACAACUAUUUAUAUAUUUUUAAUUAUUUCAAAACUAAAUAUUUUGUAAGAUAAAUGUCUUUCACCAGGAGAAAGUGGUUCUAUGUAUGUUCAUGAACAGAGGUAAAACGCCAAAUGGGAAAAAAAGUGCUGGUUGCUGCCAACAGAGACCACCCAAAAGAAAAGGGCAAAAGCAAGAGGGGAGAGUACCAUCCAGAACAGGGGUGAGAAUUCAGAGCAGCCACUAGGGGAACAUGCUAGGGAUGAGAGGGGAACGAGUGGUUUGUACGAAUUUGUAGAGGCAGAUGACUUAAGGAUACAUGCAUUGAAAGCCAGCCAGGACACAGAUAAGAGCUGCUCUCCAGCCUUGGAGGUCAGGCAGAGGUCUUCAGCAGAGGUAUCCAAUCUUUUGGAGAGCAACUUUCACCUAAAACCCUCACUCACCCUGACUCAAUUUGAUCUCCUCAGUUAAUCUUGCUGGCAAAGUCUGGCAAAGUGCUAACACUUUCCAACUCCCAUCUCAACAAAGACAUUGGCAGCUGUUCCCAGUCCAAGACAGCUCCUUUAUGAAGUCGAGAUGGAACUCUGGGUCUGCUGGUCAUAUUUAGAACUAGGGAAAUGAGACAGAAUUCCGUAUGAAGAACAUAAAUGAAGCAUCAGAACCCGUCCCACAAACCAUAAUCACAGAACCAUUUUUCAUCCAAUUUGAAACAUUUCUUUUAUUGAAGAAGUUGAACUUAC